rnacentral:tRNA from 1 species
GGUUGGGUGGCAGAGCGGUCAAAUGCACUGGUCUGUAAAACCAGCGGGCCAUGCCCUACAUAGGUUCGAAUCCUAUCCCAACCA